rnacentral:tRNA from 1 species
GGUAGAGUGGCCGAGCAGUUAGGCGGCGGAUUGUAGCUCCGUAGACAGAGGUGCGAAACCUUUUACUAUCA